UAACCUGCCGUAUACCGGGGGAUAACACUUAGAAAUAGGUGCUAAUACCGCAUAAGCGCACGGCUCCGCAUGGGGCAGUGUGAAAAACUCCGGUGGUAUACGAUGGAUCCGCGUCUGAUUAGCUAGUUGGCGGGGUAACGGCCCACCAAGGCAGCGAUCAGUAGCCGGCCUGAGAGGGUGGACGGCCACAUUGGGACUGAGACACGGCCCAAACUCCUACGGGAGGCAGCAGUGGGGAAUAUUGCACAAUGGGGGAAACCCUGAUGCAGCGACGCCGCGUGAGUGAAGAAGUAUCUCGGUACGUAAAGCUCUAUCAGCAGGGAAGAAAAUGACGGUACCUGACCAAGAAGCCCCGGCUAACUACGUGCCAGCAGCCGCGGUAAUACGUAGGGGGCAAGCGUUAUCCGGAUUUACUGGGUGUAAAGGGAGCGUAGACGGCAGCGCAAGUCUGGAGUGAAAUGCCGGGGCCCAACCCCGGAACUGCUUUGGAAACUGUGCGGCUCGAGUGCGGGAGAGGUAGGCGGAAUUCCUAGUGUAGCGGUGAAAUGCGUAGAUAUUAGGAGGAACACCAGUGGCGAAGGCGGCUUACUGGACCGUAACUGACGUUGAGGCUCGAAAGCGUGGGGAGCAAACAGGAUUAGAUACCCUGGUAGU
rnacentral:rRNA from 1 species